rnacentral:rRNA from 1 species
AGAGGGCGUGAAACCGCUUAGAAGGAAACGCGAGGCGCCGCAGUAAGCCAGUGGAAUUCAGUUGGCCGGCUCAUGGCUGAUGCAUUUUCCAUUGGUGUGCAUUGGGACUGGUUGUCUGACGGCGGGUGCCUGGUUGUAGGGAACCGUGUCUCAUGCGGAACUUUACUUCCUUGCUCUUUCUGUCGAUCGACUGGUUAACAUCCAGCCUAAAGUGUGCUGUGCAGCAUUCGCUUUCGGUCGGCUGUCCUUGUUGAGAACACUCGGCUUGGGUGGCUUGUCGGCUGCGAGUGUGGUAUGUGCCUGUUGGUUGUCCCGGUGUUAAUGUCGGCUACCCUCUCGACCCGUCUUGAAACACGGACCAGGGAGUCUAACAUGUGCGCGAGUCAUUGGGUGUGAAACCCAUAGGCGCAAUGAAAGUGAAUGUCGGCUCGGUCGGCUGAUACACGACCCGGCGAGUUGUCUCGUUGGUGCAGUGUAGUCCCAUCCCGAUUGCUCGUCAAUGGGGUGGAGACAGAGCGUAUUUGUUGGGACCCGAAAGAUGGUGAACUAUGCCUGAGCAGGAUGAAGCCAGAGGAAACUCUGGUGGAAGUCCGAAGCGGUUCUGACGUGCAAA